rnacentral:rRNA from 1 species
UACGUAGGGUGCGAGCGUUAAUCGGAAUUAUUGGGCGUAAAGAGCUUGUAGGCGGUUUGUCGCGUCUGCUGUGAAAAUCCGGGGCUCAACCCCGGACUUGCAGUGGGUACGGGCAGGCUAGAGUGUGGUAGGGGAGACUGGAAUUCCUGGUGUAGCGGUGAAAUGCGCAGAUAUCAGGAGGAACACCGAUGGCGAAGGCAGGUCUCUGGGCCACUACUGACGCUGAGAAGCGAAAGCAUGGGGAGCGAACAGG